AGCAAUGGAAUUUUAAAUCAUCUAUAAUAUUAUAACGUAUAUUUCUAAUGA
rnacentral:tRNA from 1 species